rnacentral:rRNA from 1 species
CCCGGGCCUUGUACACACCGCCCGUCACNCCAUGGGAGUUGGCUUUACCUGAAGGCGGUGCGCCAACCGUAAGGGGGCAGCCGACCACGGUAGGGUCAGCGACUGGGGUG